AGUGAACGCUGGCGGUAGGCCUAACACAUGCCAGUCGAACGGCAGCACAGUAAGAGCUUGCUCUUACGGGUGGCGAGUGGCGGACGGGUGAGGAAUACAUCGGAAUCUACUUUUUCGUGGGGGAUAACGCAGGGAAACUUACGCUAAUACCGCAUACGACCUACGGGUGAAAGCAGGGGAUCUUCGGACCUUGCGCGAUUGAAUGAGCCGAUGUCGGAUUAGCUAGUUGGCGGGGUAAAGGCCCACCAAGGCGACGAUCCGUAGCUGGUCUGAGAGGAUGAUCAGCCACACUGGAACUGAGACACGGUCCAGACUCCUACGGGAGGCAGCAGUGGGGAAUAUUGGACAAUGGGCGCAAGCCUGAUCCAGCCAUACCGCGUGAGUGAAGAAGGCCUUCGGGUUGUAAAGCCCUUUUGUUGGGAAAGAAAAGCAGCAGGUUAAUACCCCGCUGUUCUGACGGUACCCAAAGAAUAAGCACCGGCUAACUUCGUG
rnacentral:rRNA from 1 species